AAGUCAAUUUCAUGCCAUACAACUUAAUAUUUGUAUUUUUCUAUACAAACUGUAAAGUAAUUUAACAACUAUUAUCCAUAUAUAGAUUUUUCUUCCUGGCGGGCAUAUUUAAGAAUACAAUCAACAAGAAUCCAUGCCAAAUCUGAAUUUAAAAGAAGUUACUUUUUUUUUUCCAGCUUAUUCACACUUGAUAAACACUACCGAGUUUGGUGUAUCAAGAUCUCUCUCUCUCUCUCUCACUCGCUCUCAAAAUGCUUUCGGCA
rnacentral:lncRNA from 1 species